rnacentral:tRNA from 1 species
CUAAGGCUAGUUAAUUUAUAAUAAGUGUUUUGGGGGCACUAGUUCCUUUCACCGGGGCUUUAGA